rnacentral:misc_RNA from 1 species
ACACUCUCAAGCUCUGCUUGGUAUUGGAGGUUGCCCCGGUGGGGCACCCCCGAAACUCAGCGGCGACGUAGCCGGACUCCCUGGCGUAGUGACAUUUUUCUAUCGCCCCGGAGUUGUCGGUCUUGCGUUAGCCGGACAACGCCCCCUAUUUCUUGA